AACGAUACAAAGAGAAAUCGAGAAGAGAAAGAGACACGAAAAACGUUUCUUGAUUCUAUCAUUAUCGUGCAUCUAUAUCCGUUAUUAUAAUAAUAAAUAAUGUUUUCUUUAUCUUCUUCUAAGAGAUUUCUACAAGUAUAUCUUAUAAGUAAUAUUCUCUUAUUUUGAAUUAGUUUCUUUUUUUUUUUUUUUUUUUUUUUGUUAUCUUUAAUAUCAUGCGUCUCUCUCUCUCUGUCGUAAAUCUCGCUUUGAGAAAUCCCUCCAGGGAUCACAAUUAUUAUCUUUUUUGCGAAUAUUUUAUUCAAAUAUCGGCGAACCACUCCACUGCAUCUAACUGUGAUGAAAUCGUUCCUCGAACGAAAUUAAUAUACUCAUGAAUUAUAUUAAAAAUAUCUUUUUUAUAAUUAAUUUAUAUUGGUAUUUUUUUUUUAGAAUAUUUUUAUUAUAAAAUUUAUCAAUAGACUCGAUUGUAAAUAUGCUUAGGUGCAAUGGAAAUGAAUUGUUGCUUAUAAAAAUGUGCAAAUUUGUAAUUCGAGAAUCCGAACUUCGAUUCGAAUAGACGAAGUUCAUUAAGAUA